GCCUUUGUAGCUCAGUUGGUAGAGCAUAGCACUGACAUUGCAAAGGUCAUGGGUUUCAAUAAUUAUUCUCACUGUUGAAGCG